AAUAACAAUACAAGGCAGUUAAAAUGCUUUGUAAUUGGAAUGAUAGAAAUUUAAACACUUUUUAAAGUAUCAAUUGGAGGGCAAGUCUGGUGCCAGCAGCCGCGGUAAUUCCAGCUCCAAUAGCGUAUAUUAAAAUUGUUGCAGUUAAAAAGCUCGUAGUUGAAUUUCUGUUAAAAAUAACCGGUCUGCUUUUAAUAAAAGUGGUAUCUUGGUGUGUUUUUAGCAAUAAUGUCCUUUGAAAUGUUUUUUACUUUAUUGUAAUAAAUAAUAUUCAGGAUUUUUACUUUGAGAAAAUUAGAGUGUUUCUAGCAGGCUAACGCUUUGAAUACUGCAGCAUGGAAUAAUAAGAUAGGAUUUUAGUUCUACAUUAUUGGUUUUAAGAACUAAAUUAAUGAUUGAUAGGGACAGUUGGGGGCAUUUGUAUUUAACUGUCAGAGGUGAAAUUCUUAGAUUUGUUAAAGACAAACUACUGCGAAAGCAUUUGCCAAAGAUGUUUUCAUUAAUCAAGAACGAAAGUUAGGGGAUCGAAGACGAUCAGAUACCGUCGUAGUCUUAACUAUAAACUAUGCCGACUAGAGAU
rnacentral:rRNA from 1 species